GGGCCGCCUGGUAAAAGAGAUGUGAGUUUUGAUGGGCAAUCAGGAGACGGGCCACCUGGUAAAAGAGAUGUGAGGUUUGAUGGGCAAUCCGGAGACGGGCCACCUGGUAAAAGAGAUGUGAGUUAUGAUGGGCAAUCCGGAGACGGGCCACCUGGUA